AUCAAAGCAAAAAUCAAAAGAGGUCAUGAAAAACCUCAACAAAAUAAAAUAAGAUUCGGUGACCACCAUAUCAAGAAUCAAUGGGGCAUGGACAUCCAUGAAGAGCAAAAUAAGGUGACUGCCAUUUCAAGCGAAUCUUGGAUCCUCAUCUUUACACCAUUGAACUCUGUUAAAAGUCGAAUGUGUGUGUUGAGUUAACUGGACAUAGGAUUGGAGAUCAUCACGAAGAAGGGGUGGGUUAAAAUAAACUUUGAGCUUUAUAUCCUUUUGUUCAAAAAACCAUGAACCAGCUACGUUACAACCCUUAAAAGACCUAAUUGAGGUAGGGUUUAUUCUGAAAGCAUACUACAACAAGGUUACGUAAACUGACUCCUAAAUAUUUGCUAAUCAC
rnacentral:lncRNA from 1 species